rnacentral:lncRNA from 10 species
UAUUUUUUUACAGAUACCACUUUGUCUUCAUUUUUAACACUUUUUGAGUUACAAUUUACAUACCAUAAAAUUCACCCCUAGUAAAAGUGCAACUCAAUGAUUUUUAAUAAAUUUUCAGAGUUUUGCAGUCUUCACCACAAUCCAGUUUUUAGAACAUUUCCUCACCACCAUCCAUGAAAAGAAUAGUCAUGACCAUUUUCAGUCAACCCCCAGCACCAAGCAGUCACUAAUCUGC